rnacentral:rRNA from 1 species
GAUGAACGCUGGCGGCGUGCCUAAUACAUGCAAGUCGAGCGAACAGAUAAGGAGCUUGCUCCUUUGACGUUAGCGGCGGACGGGUGAGUAACACGUGGGUAACCUACCUAUAAGACUGGGAUAACUUCGGGAAACCGGAGCUAAUACCGGAUAAUAUUUCGAACCGCAUGGUUCGAUAGUGAAAGAUGGUUUUGCUAUCACUUAUAGAUGGACCCGCGCCGUAUUAGCUAGUUGGUAAGGUAACGGCUUACCAAGGCGACGAUACGUAGCCGACCUGAGAGGGUGAUCGGCCACACUGGAACUGAGACACGGUCCAGACUCCUACGGGAGGCAGCAGUAGGGAAUCUUCCGCAAUGGGCGAAAGCCUGACGGAGCAACGCCGCGUGAGUGAUGAAGGUCUUCGGAUCGUAAAACUCUGUUAUUAGGGAAGAACAUACGUGUAAGUAACUGUGCACGUCUUGACGGUACCUGAUCAGAAAGCCACGGCUAACUACGUG